UACGGAGGGGCUAGCGUUGUUCGGAAUUACUGGGCGUAAAGCGCACGUAGGCGGCUUGAAAAGUUGGGGGUGAAAGCCCGGGGGCUCAACCCCGGAACUGCCUUUAAGACUGCAUCGCUUGAAUCCGGGAGAGGUGAGUGGAAUUCCGAGUGUAGAGGUGAAAUUACGUAGAUAUUCGGAAGAACACCAGUGGCGAAGGCGGCUCACUGGACCCGGCAUUGACGCUGAGGUGCGAAAGCGUGGGGAGCAAAC
rnacentral:rRNA from 1 species